AACACGGAGAGUUUGAUCCUGGCUCAGGAUGAACGCUGGCGGUCUGCUUAACACAUGCAAGUCGAACGGACUCUUCGGAGUUAGUGGCGGACGGGUGAGUAACGCGUGAGAAUCUGCCUCUAGGACUGGGACAACAGAAGGAAACUUCUGCUAAUCCCGGAUGAGCCGCAAGGUGAAAGAUUUAUCGCCUAGAGAUGAGCUCGCGUCUGAUUAGCUAGUUGGUAAGGUAAAAGCUUACCAAGGCAACGAUCAGUAGCUGGUCUGAGAGGAUGAUCAGCCACACUGGGACUGAGACACGGCCCAGACUCCUACGGGAGGCAGCAGUGGGGAAUUUUCCGCAAUGGGCGCAAGCCUGACGGAGCAAGACCGCGUGGGGGAGGAAGGCUCUUGGGUUGUAAACCCCUUUUCUCAGGGAAGAACCAAAUGACGGUACCUGAGGAAUCAGCCUCGGCUAACUCCGUGCCAGCAGCCGCGGUAAUACGGAGGAGGCAAGCGUUAUCCGGAAUGAUUGGGCGUAAAGCGUUCGUAGGUGGCUAUUCAAGUCUGCUGUCAAAGACAGAAGCUCAACUUCUGAAAGGCAGUGGAAACUGAGUAGCUGGAGUGCGGUAGGGGCAGAGGGAAUUCCCGGUGUAGCGGUGAAAUGCGUAGAGAUCGGGAAGAACACCGGUGGCGAAAGCGCUCUGCUGGGCCGCAACUGACACUGAGGGACGAAAGCUAGGGGAGCGAAUGGGAUUAGAUACCCCAGUAGUCCUAGCUGUAAACGAUGGAAACUAGGUGUUGCCUGUAUCGACCCAGGCAGUGCCGUAGCUAACGCGUUAAGUUUCCCGCCUGGGGAGUACGCACGCAAGUGUGAAACUCAAAGGAAUUGACGGGGGCCCGCACAAGCGGNUGCAUGGCUGUCGUCAGCUCGUGUCGUGAGAUGUUGGGUUAAGUCCCGCAACGAGCGCAACCCUCGUUCUUAGUUGCCAUCAUUAAGUUGGGCACUCUAGGGAGACUGCCGGUGACAAACCGGAGGAAGGUGGGGAUGACGUCAAGUCAUCAUGCCCCUUACGUCCUGGGCUACACACGUACUACAAUGGGAAGGACAGAGGGCAGCCACUUCGCGAGGAGGAGCUAAUCCCGUAAACCUUUCCUCAGUUCAGAUUGCAGGCUGCAACUCGCCUGCAUGAAGGAGGAAUCGCUAGUAAUCGCAGGUCAGCAUACUGCGGUGAAUCCGUUCCCGGGCCUUGUACACACCGCCCGUCACACCAUGGAAGUUAGCCAUGCCCGAAGUCAUUACUCUAACCUUUCGAGGAGGAGGGUGCCGAAGGCAGGGCUGAUGACUGGGGUGAAGUCGUAACAAGGUAGCCGUANAGCU
rnacentral:rRNA from 1 species